AACCGUAAAAUUGCCAUUGAGGCUGAGGGUCUUGAGUGUAAAUGAGGUAGGCAAAAUGUGUUGUGUAGCGGUGAAAUGCUUAGAUAUAACACAGAACACCAAUUGCGAAGGCAGCUUACUGGGAUACAACUGACGCUGAGGCACGAAAGCGUGGGGAUCAAACAGGAUUAGAUACCCUGGUAGUCCACGCAGUAAAC
rnacentral:rRNA from 1 species